UGCUUGCUUGCUUUUGUAUACGCAUGGUCGCAGAAAAGGAAGGAGAAUACAGCGUCUGUUCUGCUUAAAGCAACAUUUGCCCCACAACAGUCUUGUAGGAUAUCAAAGAUGAUCUCUGGUGUGGCAAUUGAAAAGGCACAGGGCUUGAAAAUCUCAGAGCAAGUUAUGAUUUUCGUUCAUCAAUAGUGAUUCCAUGUAAUAGUGUACUCUAGAUUAGUGUUGUAUACCGUUAUUGUAA
rnacentral:misc_RNA from 1 species